rnacentral:rRNA from 1 species
UACGUAGGCAGCAAGCGUUGUUCGGAGUUACUGGGCGUAAAGGGUGCGUAGGCGGCUUUUUAAGUUUGGUGUGAAAUCUCCUGGCUCAACCGGGAGGGUGCGCCGAAUACUGAGAAGCUAGAGUAUGGGAGAGGAAAGUGGAAUUCCUGGUGUAGCGGUGAAAUGCGUAGAUAUCAGGAGGAACACCUGUGGUGUAGACGGCUUUCUGGACCAUAACUGACGCUGAUGCACGAAGCGUGGGUAGCAAACAGG